AAAGUCGUAACAAGGUUUCCGUAGGUGAACCUGCGGAAGGAUCAUUACAGUGUUAGGCUUCGGCCUCAUUCACACCCCUUGUUUAACCUCUGGUUUCUUUGGCGAUGUCAUGGACUCGUCAAACUUUAACUCUGAUAAUGCGAUAUUGUCCGAGUGAGAUUGAAUUAUCAAAACUUUCAACAACGGAUCUCUUGGUUCCA
rnacentral:misc_RNA from 1 species